UACAGAGGUCCCGAGCGUUGUUCGGAUUCAUUGGGCGUAAAGGGUGCGUAGGCGGCGGGGCAAGUCUGAUGUGAAAUCCUGGGGCUCAACCCCAGAACUGCAUUGGAUACUGCUUUGCUCGAGUACUGGAGAGGGAACUGGAAUUUACGGUGUAGCAGUGAAAUGCGUAGAGAUCGUAAGGAAGGCCAGUGGCGAAGGCGAGUUCCUGGACAGUGACUGACGCUGAGGCACGAAGGCCAGGGGAGCAAACGGG
rnacentral:rRNA from 1 species